UUCGCGCGGGCCGGUUGGGUCGCUUGCCUCGCGUCUAGGCCACGUCUGGUUCGCUGAUUGGACAUGAAUGGGUGUGAGGUGAGACAAAAUCAGAGCCCCCUGGAACAAACCCUAGCCAUUCGCGUGCAGCCGCCGCCUCUGUCUGCCUCCUCCUCUUGCCCCGCACCCCCAUCCCAGCCGCCACCUCCCUGCUCCGGCUGGUCCUCUGCGCCGUUCCGGUGCCGCUCCGCCUCCCUGGCCACCCGCCCUUCUCCUUCUCCCUUUCUCCGUCUUCAACCCCCAGCCUUCGCGUGACCGCGCCACUCCGCCUCCUUGGACGACCGCCGGCCAACAGGAGCAGCGCAUCGACGGCGCAAGCAGGAGGGGCUGCUCGAGCUCCGCCCUAGAUGGAGAUGGCGGGGCGUGCCGGCAGCGCCUCGAGCUCCACCUCGAUCUACUGCCUCGCUGCCAAGCAGCACCAGAGGGAGAUGCUUCUCUGUAGACACAGAGACGGACGGUAAUGUCGAGUCGAGAUGGGCUGAACUCCGAACAACAUGAGAGAGGGUGCCGAUCUUUAGAUGAGGAGCAAACACAUUUAUCAAAAGAGAAACUCUCAUCUCAAAGUUAGGCAGGAAAAGAAGAGAAUGAACUUGACCAGCCAGAAAAAGGCUUCUGAACAUUCACACAAUGGAAAUGUAGUGGUGCCUUUGAGAUUGCCUCCAGAGUUGGAUGUCAGAGUGUGCAAAGCAUUGACAGGUUGAAGCUAUAGGAGAGUCAGAUCGUCAAUGUCUCUGCCACUGCCAUAACCACAGACUAAAACCGAGAGAUUACUUGGAAGGGAACCACUGAUCCCUUUGAGAGUGGAUAUCAUCAGCGGCAUGACAUGGCACGGGAAGCAGCAACCAAAACAAGGCAAGGCCAGAUGUCUUGAGCAUCACGAGGCGUGUUGCCUGGUGUUGCAGCGUCACCCUAUCGGUGGAGCACGCUGAGCCUGUCGGCACCCAUCAUCCAAGCUGACGCCGGCGAUGAGAAAUUAUCCGGAGCUUAGGCGCCCAAAUCCUCAACCAAUCAGAUGUAGCUGGCAGCAUCUCCGCGGUCUCUGAUGUUGUGCUCACUGUCCCGGGAAGGACAAUUGGUGAAGCAAGGAGGGAUGUGCUCCUUUUCGACACAAGAUGUAGCUGGCAGCAUCUUUGCAAUCUCUUAUGUUGUGUUCACGUUCCCAGGAAGGACCAUUUGUGAAGCAAGGAGGGAUGUUCUUAUUUUCGACACAAGGUGGACUACUGAUUCGUAUCCUAUGCUUCCUUUGUAGAUACAUUUGAUUACCAAAGGUUUGGGUGAUCUAGCCAUUUGGUCCUUCUGCAACUAAAUGUGCUAAAUGGUUCCAUUAAAGUUGUUUCCAAGGAAGUAGAAUGGAUUGACUAGCUUUUCUAUACUUAUGCUGAUAGCUCAUCUGGCAUGAUUGACCCAGAAGGCAUCAAAAUUAUUUCCUCUCAUCUUGAGUUUCCCCAUACCGAGGCUCGGAUUUUGAUGUUAGCAUGGAAAAUGGAAAAUGGGCUGUAAAGCAAGGUUAUUUACUCUGGUGUGCAUUAUUUUUAAACUGUUAAAAAUGUUUAUCUCUAUAAUAUCAUAGUCAUUUUGAAGUUUUACUGGCAUGAAAGCUCUGUGAGCUGAUAGUAUUAGUAAGCUGAAGAAGUCAUUCCCUGAACUAACCCAAGAAGUGAGUAGUCCAUAAGUAUGUAAUUAGUAGUUAAUUAUAUUUGAAAGGUUUAUAUUUGUCAAGGGUGAAAUAACAGCUGAAUGUUUGGGUUAAUAGAUAGGUUGUAAGUAUGUAACUUGCGUUGUUGUCGGGGCUUAGAUAUUUUGCCUGAAAGGUUGUCAUGCAGUUUCAGCCCACAAUUUAAUGUUUAAUUGUCUGUAAGUUCAGUGCCACAGAUCAGCUGCAAGUGAGUAUCCAUCGUCUCUAUCUACUUUAGAUGAUAUACUCUGCUUUCACUUGCCUAUGACGUUUCUACGCUGGGCUCAAGGCUUUGUUCUAUUACAUGUGAAAGGCUCGCGGUUUAUCUGAACAAAACAAAUGGAUGGUGUUACUUGGAUUUUUUAUGGAGAUUUGAAAGACGCUUCUUACCCCUUAACUGACAUUGUCUUUAAUUGCAUGCCUUUUUUGUAUUAGGUGCUAAUUGAGAACCAUUGGGAACUUUUAUCGAGGUGAGAUUGUGUAGACCAUUUGUCUGAGUAGUGUCUAUCUGCAAGACACGUUUCUUACAAUGCUACUGCUAGGUGUAAUAUAUUUUCAUACAAUCUCCGUGUCUACUUACUCUCUGUCUGUUUAUCAUUUGCGCUGUGCGGGGCUUGCGCAGCAAGCCACUCCCAAAAUAUGGCUUCUUUUGCAUCGAAAAAAUAGCGAAUCCAUUCCUGCAUAGUACUGGCAACUCUAAUUAGUUCAAUACUGGAAAAGUACAGUAUAUUAUUCUGCCAUAUUUUAAUUGGAAAGUGCUAGCAACUGAAUGGUUGGUGUCAUAUUGACUUUUAUCCUCUCAAUUUCUUCUGUAUUUUUAUUUUGAUGAGAAAAGAAAUUGCCAUCAAAUCAGAGAUGAGCCUCAAGUUCCAAUUUUCUGAAAUAAAAUUAUUGUGUUGUUCCAUUUUCUUAGAUAAUAGUUGUUUCAGAUGGAAAAUUUAAGAGUUCCUUCUCCUAUCGCACAAAAUGUAUUUUGGGAUUGCUGGUGCGCUUUUGCCUCUUAUGGAUAACUUGGCGGUAUCCAAUAUGUUCUUAAACCAAUACUCCAAUAUUUUUCCUGCUUAUUGGCCAAUUCUUCUAAGUUUUUUUAUAGGAAUGGUGACUCUGGAUUUAUAACUGCUGAGCAUCUAUGUAUAUGCAUCUUUUAUAUUGUGAUAGCAAGAUAGUUUAUAUUUUGUAAUGUGUCUGUCAACCCAUAAGCAGGAUGCUCCUUGCUUCUGGGGACAUAUUGGUAUGGUUGAUCAGCCAAUAUUUUUCCUGCUUAUUCGCCAAUUUUUCUUAGUUUUUUUAUAGGAAUGGUGACUCUGGAUUUAUAACCGCUCAACACCUAUGUAUACGCAUCUUUUAUAUUGUGAUAGCAAGAUAGUUUUUAUUCUUUAAUGUGUCUAUCAACCAUAUGAAGUGGGGGUUGCUUAGGCCCUCAUUUUUUAAUGUGCUUUAUAAUUUAGCAAAGUAACUACAGUAAGUGCAUCAUGACCAAGUAUUCUGCUUUUUAAAGCGCUUUUCAUUCCUAACUAGACUUAGGAACUAAAUAUAUGUUGUGUUCCCUUCAACAAUAUGCGAUUGUGUUUUUUGUUGUUGUUGGUGUUGUACACAUUAGUAAGAGAUAUUUAGCGUAUAUUUUCUUCAUAUAGAUUUUGAUUCCUAACAGAAUCUGGGCUACUGUCUGCUUCAGAUUGAAUAUGCCAGUGUAUUUCUGCUGGUGUUGUCACUAGAAAGUUAUAUUUUUACUUCAGAUAUAGUGUUAAGUGAUUCAGGAAUCAAGGGUGAAAAUUACAAGCUGCAAUAUGGAAUGAGGUUGAUGAUCUUAUGAAAGAUACGCAACAACUGGUCAUCAUGGCUAAAAGGGAUGACGUAUCUUCCCGUCUUCUGCCGUCACACCCUGUCUAUGAGCAUGAAGAUAGCUUGGCAAGCAUAAUUCCAUCCUCCUUGACUUUGAGGCCAACCACUCUCAAAGUGAGAUCCACGUCUUCGAAUUCAACAUAGAUUAUGAGAUUGGUUCAAAUCCCACGGGAUCGCGCCGCCCACCCGGUUCUUUUUUGGUCAAUUGUGUCGUUUGGUUUGCGAUUUCCGUACGAGGAAUCAACCAUGCAAGUUGUGCGCCUAUUGCAGGGUUUCUAUGGGUUCGUGGUUCGUGACUAAAACUACUAGGGAAUGCAUGCCUAUAGGAACCUUGCGCUGUAUGUUCUUGCGGGUUCUUAGUUCGGAUGACCGUGUCUCGUGUUUGUGUUGUUAGCUCUAUAGAUCCUCUUAUUGAGUCGGUGUGCUGUCAGAUAAUAUGUAAUCGGCUUAAUUUUCUAUGUCCUUUGUGCCAUGAGUUUUAAAGACCAUGCUGGACAUGUAGAUGAUGAUUUUGGUGUUCACUUAUUUUUGUUCCUCUUGGCAUAAUCAACAACCAUUAGUUUGCUCUUGGCAGAAUCAACUGGUGGUAUAUAAAUGAAUGAUUUUCUAUUUGUAAUUUAGUGUGGUUCGCUAUAUUUUGUAAAACCUAAGAAGAUGUAUUAUCAUUUUACCUCCUACAAUGAGUCUUACGGGAU